GGUUCGGUUUUUUGUUUUCCUUUUCUAAGGUGAGCAGAACAAAAUGCUGAACAUUCUGCAGAAAAGUGAUUUUUCCCUGUACAGAAAAUGAGUUAAACCUGCUGAAUAAAAGGCCCCAUUUCAGAGCUAAAAGAUAGAGAAAGUAAAACCUGGAUUCAUGCUAAGUUUGUGGCUCCCUGUGAAUUGAAAAGUGGUAUUUUUCUAUAACAACAACAAAAAAAUUAAAUGCUUACUUCCAGCUACUCAGAAGCUGAGCAUUUCACUCCCAGCAAAGCAAGUCAGCCAGCAGUUUUACUCAGAGAUCUUCCAGCAACAAAGGGGGAAUGGUAGGGGGGGCAGCGGAACACGACAGUGGAUUCCAUCAGCCUGCCUACCUCACAAGCCUCAGCAGCACUGCAGGAGAUUCCAGCUGCUCCAACUCGCUGCUUGACCACACGUUUCUGUCCCCAUCACACACCAACCUGACGACCGAGUUCACCCAACAGUUUGCUCUAGGAGACUUCGUGGUCUUUAAGAACAGAGGAGAAGGAAGGAAAUAACAGCACUGAAAAAU
rnacentral:lncRNA from 1 species